UUCAUCGUGAUGGGGAUAGAUCAUUGCAAUUGUUGGUCUUCAACGAGGAAUGCCUAGUAAGCGCGAGUCAUCAGCUCGCGUUGACUACGUCCCUGCCCUUUGUACACACCGCCCGUCGCUCCUACCGAUUGAAUGGUCCGGUGAAGUGUUCGGAUCGCGGCGACGGGGGCGGUUCGCCGCCCUCGACGUCGCGAGAAGUCCAUUGAACCUUAUCAUUUAGAGGAAGGAGAAGUCGUAACAAGGUUUCCGUAGGUGAACCUGCGGAAGGAUCAUUG
rnacentral:rRNA from 1 species